rnacentral:misc_RNA from 1 species
UUUCCGUAGGUGUACCUGCGGAAGGAUCAUUAUUGGAUUUUGAAACUUCAGGCUGCUGCUGGCUCUCCUCGGAGGGCAUGUGCACGCUUGUUGUCCAUUAUUUCUCCCACUGUGCACAAAUUGUAGACCUUUCAGUAGGCCUAUGUUGUUUUUCACAAUCUCUGAAUGUAAUAGAAUGGUUUUGAAUCUUGGGAAAUACAAUACAACUUUCAGCAACGGAUCUCUUGGCUCUC